rnacentral:rRNA from 1 species
GACGAACGCUGGCGGCGUGCUUAACACAUGCAAGUCGAACGGAAAGGCCCUGCUUUUGUGGGGUGCUCGAGUGGCGAACGGGUGAGUAACACGUGAGUAACCUGCCCUUGACUUUGGGAUAACUUCAGGAAACUGGGGCUAAUACCGGAUAGGAGCUCCUGCUGCAUGGUGGGGGUUGGAAAGUUUCGGCGGUUGGGGAUGGACUCGCGGCUUAUCAGCUUGUUGGUGGGGUAGUGGCUUACCAAGGCUUUGACGGGUAGCCGGCCUGAGAGGGUGACCGGCCACAUUGGGACUGAGAUACGGCCCAGACUCCUACGGGAGGCAGCAGUGGGGAAUAUUGCACAAUGGGCGGAAGCCUGAUGCAGCAACGCCGCGUGCGGGAUGACGGCCUUCGGGUUGUAAACCGCUUUCGCCUGUGACGAAGCGUGAGUGACGGUAAUGGGUAAAGAAGCACCGGCUAACUACGUGCCAGCAGCCGCGGUGAUGCGUAGGGUGCGAGCGUUGUCCGGAUUUAUUGGGCGUAAAGGGCUCGUAGGUGGUUGAUCGCGUCGGAAGUGUAAUCUUGGGGCUUAACCCUGAGCGUGCUUUCGAUACGGGUUGACUUGAGGAAGGUAGGGGAGAAUGGAAUUCCUGGUGGAGCGGUGGAAUGCGCAGAUAUCAGGAGGAACACCAGUGGCGAAGGCGGUUCUCUGGGCCUUUCCUGACGCUGAGGAGCGAAAGCGUGGGGAGCGAACAGGCUUAGAUACCCUGGUAGUCCACGCUGUAAACGGUGGGUACUAGGUGUGGGGUCCAUUCCACGGGUUCCGUGCCGUAGCUAACGCUUUAAGUACCCCGCCUGGGGAGUACGGCCGCAAGGCUAAAACUCAAAGGAAUUGACGGGGCCCCGCACAAGCGGCGGAGCAUGCGGAUUAAUUCGAUGCAACGCGUAGAACCUUACCUGGGUUUGACAUGGAUCGGGAGCGCUCAGAGAUGGGUGUGCCUCUUUUGGGGUCGGUUCACAGGUGGUGCAUGGCUGUCGUCAGCUCGUGUCGUGAGAUGUUGGGUUAAGUCCCGCAACGAGCGCAACCCUUGUUCACUGUUGCCAGCACGUUAUGGUGGGGACUCAGUGGAGACCGCCGGGGUCAACUCGGAGGAAGGUGGGGAUGACGCCAAGUCAUCAUGCCCCUUAUGUCCAGGGCUUCACGCAUGCUACAAUGGCUGGUACAGAGAGUGGCGAGCCUGUGAGGGUGAGCGAAUCUCGGAAAGCCGGUCUCAGUUCGGAUUGGGGUCUGCAACUCGACCUCAUGAAGUCGGAGUCGUUAGUAAUCGCAGAUCAGCAACGCUGCGGUGAAUACGUUCCCGGGGCU